UAGGGCGUUUCCUCGGCUGCGAGGUCCACCCGAGACGAUAAACACCCGUGGUUUCUUUUAAGAAAGGCGACGGUUGACUUAGCUGUGGACCGGUGGCUAAGUUAGCUUAGCUAGCAACUGGCGACGGGGUCUUUAAACCGUCUAUCCAUCUUUACUGAACACUGGGCUUCUUUUCCUAGAAAGCAGCGUGUAUUUUUCUCUGAAUGCGUGUCUAACGCAACAACAAUAUGCGUUAAUUGUAUAUUUUCCUGUAAGGUAACAUUAAUGACAAAAGAAGUACUUUUAGGAGCUGAAUCUUUUAUCGUCGAGCGGUUGUCAGUGUGAGUGAUCGUCAUCUACAAAGGCGGCGUGUUUAGCACCCGAAAUCACUCCACUCCUAUCUGAUAUUUUAAUAUCUUUAUCCGCUUUAAAUACGGACCGCGUUGUGUCGCGGGAGAUUGUUUACGGGGAUGUCGCUGGACUUUUAACGUAUUUCCACUCCCGGAGCAACUUCCCCUUAUGGUGACACAUUGUUAAGCGUGGCCCGGUAAUAUUGUGUUAAAAUAUAAAACGGGUAGAUAAUGUGUAACUUAUAAACAGGGGCUUUAUUGUGUUGUUUUUCUUUUGACGCGAAAGGCGACGUUUGAGAACAAGGACCUUGUUAUGGUGGUCUUUUUGAUUGACAGCCGUAGAAAUUUAAAUCCCCCCCCCCUCUCCUUGCCAUGCGCAUGGCCUGGGGGGCUCCUCUAGUGGUGAGAAUGGGAACUGCGCGUAGGACUUUUUGUUCUGUUUGGUUGUUUUGAGCUGUGCAAAACAUUAGCAAAAAAAUGUUUUACUCAUUUAUUUAGUAUAAUUGGACUCAAUAUUGAACUCAAUUGUCCGAAUUAGAGAUAAUGUUUCAAAAUGCUACAAAUUCUAAAGCAGCUAUAUAUUAUCCCUCCUCUUGUGUUAGGGUCGGCAUUGACCCGUUUUACAUUAUAAUGCAUAAAAAGAAUCACAUAACAUUUGUUUAUUGCAUCAAGGCUUUUUCACUUUGUCAGGAAACGCUAUUUCAACAAAAUAAAACCAAAAAAAUAAUUUUUACUACAUUUUAAAAUGGUCUAGUUGAAAUUCUGACCACUGUCCGGUUAUAAUAAUAUGACUAUAAAGCAGAGGUAGGGAACCUAUGGCUCGGGAGCCAGGUAGGGCUCGUUUGAUGACUGUAUCUGGCUCUCAAGCAUUUCUUACCACAAUAAAAAUGCAUUUUUGCUAACAUUUUAAAGUAAACCAUCACAGAAAUGACUGUUAAAAAUAAUAUUCAAAAUCAACAACUUUCUUAUGCAUUUUAAUCCACCCAUCUAUAUUCUACUGCAAUACGGCCAACCAUAUCUAUCUUUCCUGAUGAUAUUUUCCAGGUCAAACACCAAAACUUGAUUAUUACUGGGUAAUGCUGUAGUCUACCUCGGUCAUUGAGAUGUCAAAAAAACAUGUAAAUGUAAACUUUCCUCCUUUAGUCAAAUAGCUAAAGCUGCAGAACCAAGCCUUCUGGUGAAGAUGGCCAAAAGAAUGAAAUACGUGUACUGAAUACGGUUCAAAACUAUGCAGCAGCAGAAGUUGCAUUAAUGGCAGCAAGUAUUUGAUUUAUUAUUAGACACUGCGCUGCUCACGAAAGUAUGCUGGCCACACCCCCUUGGCGUGGGGUAGUGUGCCUGGUCUACAUAAUUAGAGCCCAUUAUAUCUAAAACUGUUGGUCUUACAUAAAAAUGCACACAUUGUAUUGCAUUCAAAAUGUAUAUGGCUCUCACAGAUACACAUUUUAAAAUAUCUGGCCUUCAUGGCUCUCUUAGCCAAAAAGGUUCCCGACCCCUGCUAUAAAGCAAUAUUUUGUAGCCACAACUGAAAUCAUAAGUGCACAAUUAGCCAACACAAUGACAACCAGCUCAUUUUCUCAUCAUGUAAGCUUCAGGGGAUUCUCAUUUUGACCGUUUUUCCCGUUUACCAUGUGAGAUGAAUUCACUCAUUAGAAUGGCUGAUUUCACAUUUACAAUUUGGAUCAUGGAGAAAAAAAAACGACAAGAAGUACAGUGAACCAGGAUCUGGACCUUUGGAUAACUUUUUCUAACUUGUCUUGACAUUAAUAUAUAUGGGUCAAAAUUCACCCCAACACCAUAGAUGUUUCUUUAGUGAUUAAUACUAACAUGAGAAAAUAAAUAAUUGAUUUAAGAGAUAUGUUCUAUAGCGCUCAGUAAUAACCAGGAAACAAAAUAACCUUCAAUUUAUGAAUAUGAUUCUAUUGAGGUUCAUUUUACCGUUUUUGGAAAUUGAAAUCGAGGGGUUAAGUGACCAAAAAAAAGGCCUACAUGCCCACACCAAAAGUAUUAAAACCAACAUUUUUAUGGAUGAGGAAGCCUAAGAAGGUAACCAAGACAUGAGAACCAAAUUUGAUGGUAACUUAUUGUUUUUAGCGUAUUUUAUAUUUUAUAGCUGAUUUAAUACAUGGGUCAAAAGCAACCCGGUAACAUAAGAGAUGAUACCAGAAAGCUAACACAAGAGGAAGGAUAUACAUGCACGUAUUCGCCAACAUUAAUUCGUCACUUGUCAUACUUUCAAGCCAACUUAGUCACGUCGAGCGCUCCCUUCCGUGUGACUCAUUGUGUCGUUACGCAACAUUAUUGUGCGUGUGGAUCGGAUUAUUAAGUUAAUUGGCACACACAUGCCAGGGAAGUUCAUUUCGGGCCUUGAGGUCACAACCGCCGCAAAGCUUGCGUCACUCGUAAUUGAGUAACCGGGCUUUAAAGUCCGUGUUAGUUGUAUCCUCUGACACGUGUCAUCACAAGCAUUCACCGUGACCUGGGAGAAGUCGGCUCGAAAUAAAGCCGCUUGUAUCCCGCCCUCAAACGGGAGAAACGUAACCCUUGGAACGGACUAAGAAGCGUGGUCUUGUACCACAAGGCGUUUAUUACGUACAUCAUGUUUAACCCUUAGAUGCAUAAGUGGGUCAAAAAUGACCCGCUCAGGUUGUUUUCUUGAAAUAUCUUUAUAAUGAAAAUUUUUUAUCAUUUCAUAUUCAAGGUAUUCCUCAAAAAACACGUUUUUGAUAUCAUGCCAUUCACAUUUUUAAGUUAUCUUUUAAACAUUUUAAGAAAUUUUUGUUUUUGUGUUGCUACCCCCAACCUUCCAUAAAUGGGUCAAAAUGACCCGGUCAGGUUGUUUUCUUUGUAAUUAAAGUUUUUUUAUCAUUUCAUAUUCCAGGUAUUCCUCAAAAAACACGUUUUUGAUAUCAUACCAUUCACAUUUUUAACUUACCUUUCAUAAAUUUUAAGAAAUUUUAGUUUUUGUGUUACUACCCCAACCUUCCAUAAGUGGGUCAAAAAUGACCCGGUGAGGUUGUUUUCUUGAAAUAUCUUUGUAAUUAAAUUUUUUUUAUCAUUUCAUAUUCCAGGUAUUCCUCGAAAAACACAUGUUUGAUAUCACGUCAUUCACAUUUUUAACUUACCUUUUAUACAUUUUAAGAAAUUUUAGUUUUUGUGUUACUACCCCAACCUUCCAUAAGUCAGGUUGUUUUCUUAAAAUAUGUUCGUAAUGAAAAUUAUCAUUUCAUAUUCCAGGUAUUCCUCAAAAAACACAUUUUUGAUAUCAUGCCAUUCACAUUUUUAACUUACCUUUUAUACAUUUUAAGAAAUUUUAGUUUUUGUGUUACUACCCCAACCUUCCAUAAGUGGGUCAAAAAUGACCCGGUCAGGUUGUUUUCUUUGUAAUUAAAGUUUUUUUUAUCAUUUCAUAUUCCAGGUAUUCCUCAAAAAACACAUUUUUGAUAUCAUGCCGUUCACAUUUUUAACUUACCUUUUAUACAUUUUAAGAAAUUUUAGUUUUUGUGUUACUACCCCAACCUUCCAUAAGUGGGUCAAAAAUGACCCGGUCAGGUUGUUUUCUUUAAAUAUCUUUGUAAUGAAAUUUUUUUAUCAUUUCAUAUUCCAGGUAUUCCUCAAAAAACACGUUUUUGAUAUCAUGCCAUUCACAUUUUUAACUUACCUUUUAUACAUUUUAAGAAUUUUUUGUUUUUGUGUUACUACCCCAACCUUCCAUAAGUGGGUCAAAAAUGACCCGGUCAGGUUGUUUUCUUGAAAUAUCUUCAUAUAAAACAUUUUUAUCAUUUCAUAUUCCAGGUAUUCCUCAAAAACAUGUUUUGAUAUCAUGGCAUUCACAUUUUUAACUUACCUUUUAUACAUUUUAAGAAUUUUUUGUUUUUGUGUUACUACCCCAACCUUCCAUAAGUCAGGUUGUUUUCUUAAAAUAUCUUCGUAAUGAAAAUUGUUAUCAUUUCAUAUUCCAGGUAUUCCUCAAAAAAACACAUUUUUGAUAUCAUGCCAUUCACAUUUUUAACUUACCUUUUAUACAUUUUAAGAAUUGUUUGUUUUUGUGUUACUACCCCAACCUUCCAUAAGUGGGUCAAAAAUGACCCGGUCAGGUUGUUUUCUUGAAAUAUCUUUGUAAUGAAAAAUUGUUAUCAUUUCAUAUUCCAUUUAUUCCUCAAAAACAUGUUUUUGAUUUAAAAAAAAAAGUGAAAAAUGAAGAUGUUUCUAACAUGAAAUAAUUCUUGUGUGAUCCUAAAUAUAAUACAAAAUAUCAUACAAGUGAUUAUUCCUAACCAAAAUGGCAAAAUUGGCAUAAAAAGGCAUUGAUUCUAGUAUGGGUCAUUUUUGACCCGCUUAUGGAAGAGUGUAGGGUCCAGUCACUCGUGCAUCUAAGGGUUAAACUUUAAAUAAUAUAUAUAUAUUCUAGUAUAUUUCUAUGGUUUCAUGAACGACACAUACUGGCGCUUUUUAAUCCUCUUUUCCCCAAAAGGAUGUCAGGAAGUUAGUAAGCUUAGCGCGGCUAGCGGCUGUGUUUAUAUUUGGGUGAGACGCUUGCUUUAUCACAAGCCAUAACAGGAUUGUUCCCGGUUGUGUUGCUCCAAGCCCGUUUGCAUGUUCUGGGAAUCGUCAGCAGGCCGGGGUUGACUCGGGUGACUCGGGUGGAUGCCGGGACAGAGGGAGGUGAUUGAUGGGUGUAAGACAGAGCCAAGUUCGUUGUGUCGUCAGUCAAUGUCGUGCGCUAAAGAGAGAUGGAUCGUCAGUGCGGAGUGACUUUUUUUUCGUGAGCGGACGGACGCCUCCUCCUCCUCAGCUUCAUCCGUUUAGGUGCGGGGCGUGCGGCUCCUGGUCAAAGCUGUGUUUACCUUCAUUAGCAGGGCAGCAACACCACUUAUUUUGGCUUCAUGGGUGUUGAUUUUGGGAUUGCUGCCAGGUGUGUAAAUAUAUAUAUAAAUACAUUUUUUUCAGCUUUUACCUGUCUAGAGUCACCACCGGUGAGUGUUUACGCCAGAUGGAAUGGAACCAUGUCCUCUGCAGUGAAAGUUGGAAGUGCAAAUGGUUUCACAUGUGGAUAUCCUCCUGAAUGUGAGGAAAGCAGUGUUUACUGGUUCAAUUGUUGGGAGUUAUCACUAAAUCCAAUCCACUUUAUUUAUAUAUAUUUAUAUAGCACAUUUUAUAAACAAAGUUUCCAAAGUGCUGCACAGACUAGUAAAAUAAAAAGUAAAAAUAAAAUACAAUAAAUUAAAGGUAUAUAUUUGAAUUUAAUCCAAAACAAAAAGAUCAAAUAAGAAAUAAAAUAGUAAAAUAGAUAUUCAAAUAUUACAAACAAGAAGCAAAGCAAUAAAAGUAUAAAAAAUAAAACCAAUUAAAAUAAAAAGAAAGGUUGGUGUUAUCAGCAAAUCCAAUCCAAUCCACUUUAUUUAUAUAGCACAUUUUAUAAACAAAGUUUCCAAAGUGCUGCACAGACUAGUAAAAUAAAAAGUAAAAAUUAAAUACUAUAAUAAAUAAAGGUACAAAUUGAAUUUAAUCCAAAACUAAAAGAUCAAAUAAGAAAUAAAAAUAGUAAAAAUAGAUAUAAAAAUAUUAAAAACAAGAAGCAAAGCAAAAAAAGUAUAAAAAAUAAAAACAAUUAAAAUAAAAAGAAAGAUUGGAGUUAUCAGCAAAUCCAAUCCACUUUAUUUAUAUAGCAUAUUUUAUAAACAAAGUUUCCAAAGUGCUGCACAGACUAGUAAAAUAAAAAGUAAAAAUAAAAUACAAUAAAUAAAGGUACAAAUUGAAUUUAAUCCAAAACUAAAAGAUCAAAUAAGAAAUAAAAAUAGAUAUAAAAAUAUUAAAACCAAGAAGCAAAGCAAUAAAAGUAUAAAAAAUAAAACCAAUUAAAAUAAAAAGAAAGAUUGGAGUUAUCAGCAAAUCCAAUCCACUUUAUUUAUAUAUAUUUAUAUAGCACAUUUUAUAAACAAAGUUUCCUAAGUGCUGCACCGACUAGUAAAAUAAAAAGUAAAAAUAAAAUACAAUAAAUAAAGGUAUAUAUUUGAAUUUAAUCCAAAACUAAAAGAUCAAAUAAGAAAUAAAAAUAGUAAAAAUAGAUAUAAAAAUAUUAAAACCAAGAAGCAAAGCAAUAAAAGUAUAAAAAAUAAA